rnacentral:lncRNA from 1 species
GUGUGAAUCUGAAUGAGGACUUCUGGGAAAACAAAACAAAACAAAAAAACCCUGUUGGUGAUUCAUACUCCUGGUCCUACCCUAGCAUUAGGUCCUGAGUCUGCCAUUCCGGAUGGACUCACUUCACUGCCCAGGCAUCCCUGACGAGUGAACACCUAAAAGGCCGCAUAACAAGGGAUUAAGAUGUAGCUCCUCCUCCACUCUCACCUCUUUCUCCAGCAUGCCAACAUGUGCGGUCAUGAGGAUAAUGGACUAAACCUCUGAAACUGAUUUGGAGCCUGUCCUGGAACUUGCUCUGUAGACCAGGCUGGCCCUGAACUCACACCUGCUUCUGCCUUCCACUUGUAUUUUUUUUAACUUUUACUUAUUUACUUAUUAUUUUUGUGCUCUGUGUGUGUGUGCACACGUGGGCACGCAUCAGAGAGAGAGAGAGCUCACACAACAUGCUCACAGGGACCCACAGAGGGCAGAAAAGUGUCUCGGAUCCCCUGGAGCUGGAAGCAUUUUUAUCCACUGAGCCAUCUCCCAGGCCUCCUGUUACUAGUUUUCAGUCCAUCUGGAAGAUCCAUCUUGACUAGGUGAUCUGUGUUUCCCAAGUUCCUGGAAACAUCUACUAUCCUGGGUCAUUGAUGCUUGUUUUUAAUCAGAAAAAGAAAUGAGAUAUUGUGAACAUG